UCUCCAGCCUGACAGAGAAGACACAACAAUUAAGAAAGUUGUUCUCUCAGUAUUAGACUCAUUCUUUGCAUUUCGAGUGUGCCUACAAUUUGCUUGAAUGCAGGAAAGUACACUGUAAUUUAUGUUAGUGUUAGACUUUGACCACACUUUCUUCCA
rnacentral:snRNA from 1 species